rnacentral:misc_RNA from 1 species
GGGAAUUUCUCUUGGGAUUUGUCUCUGCCUGUCCCAACACUGAAAGAUUUAAAUUUCAAAGUAUUACAUGGUAUGCGUGUUGCUGUUUGUGGUCCUGUUGGUUCAGGCAAGUCAAGCUUACUUUCCUGCAUUUUGGGAGAAGUUCCCAAAAUCUCAGGGACACUUAAGUUGAGCGGGACGAAGGCCUAUGUCGCCCAGUCACCUUGGAUACAGAGUGGCACAAUUGAAGAGAACAUAUUGUUUGGUAAGGAAAUGGACAGAGAAAGGUAUGAGAGG